ACAUAUUUUAGAGCCUAAUUCAUUUCAAUUAACAACCAAAAUUACAUUCAAAUCCAAAUUCAAAAUUCUAAUGCUAAAAAUUAUUCCUAAAUAAAUUUAUUGUAAUCCAUCUCUACUUAUAUAAGCUGCACCUUGAUCUGAUAUAUAAUAAACUUAAACAUUAAAAUUAUAUAUUUUCAAAAAUAAUUUUUAACGACGAUAUACAAGCAAAAUAAAAGUCUUAUCAAUCGUGGAUUAUCGAUUACAGGACAGAUUCCCCUGAUUGGAAUAAAAAACCGCCAAAUUUUUUGAUUUUUAAGAUCUUAUCUAAUAUUUAUCUAGUUUAAUUUUCUCUACAUCCUAGUAUAAUGGGGUAUCUAAUCCCAGUCUAAAAUCCAGAUUUCUCAACUUCAUAAUCAAAAAUUAAAUUAAAUUAUAAAUAAGAUUCCACCCAAUAUUUAAAAAAAUAAAAAUUAAUUAUUAUUAAUUAAGUAUAAUCAACUGAAAAAAAAUAAUAGCAUUAUUUGUAUAACCGCA
rnacentral:rRNA from 1 species